CCAUUGCAAUGCACGUACAUUAUGAUGUUGAGCACGUAUACAUAACUGAAGACCUUAUUAGAGGCAUUCGUUAAUCCGUGAAAAUCCCGGCUACGCAAACACUCGAAAUGUUGUUGAAUAUUAUUUUUAUUCAUUUUUUUUUUUUUUUAAGCAAUUGAAAUGAAACUGUCGCGGUUUUAUAUAAAAUCUAGACAUUAUAAUAACGUGAACAAUAAAUAAUGAUUGUAAUAAUUGUAUAACAUUUUAUUUUAUAAAAAUUAAAACAACACAGAUUGAAAAUAUGUGUAGUAUUAUAAAUCGUCCGGUAGAACCAUGGGAUGCCGAGAGAAAGCAAAUGCCGCGACAUUUUUUCAAGUCGGUCUUAGCUGAG